UAGAGCCUGGCUCAGGACGAACGCUGGCGGCGUGCCUAAUACAUGCAAGUCGAGCGGACAGAUGGGAGCUUGCUCCCUGAUGUUAGCGGCGGACGGGUGAGUAACACGUGGGUAACCUGCCUGUAAGACUGGGAUAACUCCGGGAAACCGGGGCUAAUACCGGAUGCUUGUUUGAACCGCAUGGUUCAAACAUAAAAGGUGGCUUCGGCUACCACUUACAGAUGGACCCGCGGCGCAUUAGCUAGUUGGUGAGGUAACGGCUCACCAAGGCAACGAUGCGUAGCCGACCUGAGAGGGUGAUCGGCCACACUGGGACUGAGACACGGCCCAGACUCCUACGGGAGGCAGCAGUAGGGAAUCUUCCGCAAUGGACGAAAGUCUGACGGAGCAACGCCGCGUGAGUGAUGAAGGUUUUCGGAUCGUAAAGCUCUGUUGUUAGGGAAGAACAAGUACCGUUCGAAUAGGGCGGACCUUGACGGUACCUAACCAGAAAGCCACGGCUAACUACGUGCCAGCAGCCGCGGUAAUACGUAGGUGCAAGCGUUGUCCGGAAUUAUUGGGCGUAAAGGGCUCGCAGGCGGUUCCUUAAGUCUGAUGUGAAAGCCCCCGGCUCAACCGGGGAGGGUCAUUGGAAACUGGGGAACUUGAGUGCAGAAGAGGAGAGUGGAAUCCACGUGUAGCGGUGAAAUGCGUAGAGAUGGGAGGAACACCAGUGCAAGGCGACCGUCUGUAACAGAGAAG
rnacentral:rRNA from 1 species